rnacentral:rRNA from 1 species
UACAGAGGUCUCGAGCGUUAGGCGGAAUCACUGGGCUUAAAGCGUGUGUAGGCGGAUCGGUAAGUACCUUGUGAAAUCCCACAGCUUAACUGUGGAACUGCUUGGUAUACUGCCAGUCUUGAGCCAGCUAGGGGCUACCGGAACAAAUGGUGGAGCGGUGAAAUGCGUAGAUAUCAGGAGGAACACCAAUGGCGAAGGCAGCUCACUGGGACGGUAUUGACGCUGAGACGCGAAAGCGUGGGGAGCAAACAGG